UACGAAGGGGGCUAGCGUUGCUCGGAAUCACUGGGCGUAAAGGGUGCGUAGGCGGGUUUUUAAGUCAGGGGUGAAAUCCUGGAGCUCAACUCCAGAACUGCCUUUGAUACUGAAGAUCUUUGAGUCCGGGAGAGGUGAGUGGAACUGCGAGUGUAGUGGUGAAAUGCGUAGAUAUCGAGAGGAACACCAGUGGCGAAGGCGGCUCACUGGGCACCACCUGACGCUGAGGCGCGAAAGCGUGGGGAGCGAACCGG
rnacentral:rRNA from 1 species